AAUAACCUCCAAAAAAGUUGCCUGGGGUAUCUCUCAUGGUUGUCGGGCGAGUUGUCAAAUUUAGCGGGUCAGUCGUAUGUGCGGUCCCUGCUCAAUGUUUUUUAAAUUGCUGUGGUAUUUUGACUAUACAAAGGUAUUGAAAUAAGACUUUAAUUGAGUGCUAAGAGAAUGGAAUUUCAUAAAAUUUCUUUUUUAAUUUUAAAAAUUGAAAUUAAUUUUAUAUGUGAAGAAACAAUAAUAAAAAUUAAGGACAAGAAGACCCUAAGAAUUUUAAAGAAUUCAAUAAAAUACAAAAUUUUAUUGAAUUCUUUUAAUUGGGGCGAUUAUUAAAUAUUAAAAACUUUAAUUUUUUUAAAAAAGAACCAAUAAUAUUGGUUAUUUGAAAAAAUACUCUAGGGAUAACAGCGUAAUAAUUUUUGAUAGUUCUUAUAGACAAAAUAGUUUGCGACCUCGAUGUUGGAUUAGGAUUCUUUUUUAAUGAAGAAGUAAAAAAAGAAGUUGUCACNUA
rnacentral:rRNA from 1 species